GCUUGUCUCAAAGAUUAAGCCAUGCAUGUUCAAGUAUAGCAAGUGUACAGUGAAACUGCGAAUGGCUCAUUAAAUCAGUUAUAAUUUAUUUGAUAGUGAAAUUGUACAUGGAUAACCGUGGCAAUUCUAGGGCUAAUACAUGCGUCAAUGGUCGGUCGACCAGUAUUUAUUAGAUACAAAGCCAGCCGUCAGGAUCAGGUGAAUCAUGAUAACCAAACGAAUCGCAAGCGCAAGCGGCGAUGGUUCAUUCAAAUUUCUGCCCUAUCAACUUUCGAUGGUAAGGUAUUGGCUUACCAUGGUUACAACGGGUAACGGGGAAUUAGGGUUCGAUUCCGGAGAGGGGGCCUGAGAAAUGGCCACCACUUCCAAGGAAGGCAGCAGG
rnacentral:rRNA from 1 species